rnacentral:rRNA from 1 species
CCAAUAGCGUAUAUUAAAGUUGUUGCAGUUAAAAAGCUCGUAGUUAAACUUCGGGGCUUACCCAUUGGUCAGGCUUAAUUGUCUGUACUGGUGAGAUAAAUCUCUACCUUCUGAGGAACUUUCAUGUCAUUAAUUUGGUGUGAUUGGAAAUCAGGACUGUUACUUUGAAAAAAUUAGAGUGUUUAAAGCAGGCUAACGUCUGAAUACAUUAGCAUGGAAUAAUGAAAUAGGAUGGACUGAUUCUAUUUCGUUGGUUUCUAGGAUCACCGUAAUGAUUAAUAGGGAUAGUUGGGGGCAUUAGUAUUCAAUUGUCAGAGGUGAAAUUCUUGGAUUUAUUGAAGACUAACUACUGCGAAAGCAUUUGCCAAGGAUGUUUUCAUUAAUCAAGAACGAAAGUUAGGGGAUCGAAGACGAUCAGAUACCGUCGUAGUCUUAACCAUAAACUAUGCCGACUAGGGAUCGGACGAAGUUAAUUUUAUAAUGACGCGUUCGGCACCUUACG